ACGCGAAGAACCUUACCAGGUCUUGACAUCCUCGGNAANUUNGCAGAGAUGCCUUGGUGCCUUCGGGAACCGAGAGACAGGUGCUGCAUGGCUGUCGUCAGCUCGUGUCGUGAGAUGUUGGGUUAAGUCCCGUAACGAGCGCAACCCUUGUCCUUAGUUGCCAGCGCGUAAUGGCGGGAACUCUAAGGAGACUGCCGGUGACAAACCGGAGGAAGGUGGGGANGANGUCAAGUCAUCAUGGCCCUUACGACNUGGGCUACACACGUGCUACAAUGGAACGCACAGAGGGUUGCAACCUCGCGAGAGUGAGCCAAUCCCACAAAACGUUUNGUAGUCCGGAUCGGAGUCUGCAACUCGACUCCGUGAAGUCGGAAUCGNUAGUAAUCGCGGAUCAGAAUGCCGCGGUGAAUACGUUCCCGGGCCUUGUACACACCGCCCGUCACACCAUGGGAGUGGGUUGCUCCAGAAGUGGUUAGCCUAAC
rnacentral:rRNA from 1 species